rnacentral:antisense_RNA from 1 species
UUUGACGGAGCCGAGCAGCAGCGGCCGGUCCGCGGGCCGGUCCUGGCCGUAGGUGGCGAGCAGGGCCUGUGCCUC